rnacentral:rRNA from 1 species
CCUACGGGAGGCAGCAGUGGGGAAUAUUGGGCAAUGGGCGCAAGCCUGACCCAGCAACGCCGCGUGCAGGAAGAAGGCUUUCGGGUUGUUAACUUCUUUUAUCAGGGACGAAGCAAGUGACGGUACCCGAUGAAUAAGCCACGGCUAACUACGUGCCAGCAGCCGCGGUAAUACGUAGGUGGCAAGCGUUAUCCGGAUUUACUGGGUGUAAAGGGCGUGUAGGCGGGAGUGCAAGUCAGAUGUGAAAACUAUGGGCUCAACCCAUAGCCUGCAUUUGAAACUGUACUUCUUGAGUGCUGGGGAGGCAAUCGGAAUUCCGGGUGUAGCGGUGAAAUGCGUAGAUAUACGGAGGAACACCAGUGGCGAAGGCGGAUUGCUGGACAGUAACUGACGCUGAGGCGCGAAAGCGUGGGGAGCAAACAGGAUUAGAUACCCGAGUAGUC